rnacentral:rRNA from 1 species
UGGGGAAUUUUGGACAAUGGGCGAAAGCCUGAUCCAGCAAUGCCGCGUGUGUGAAGAAGGCCUUCGGGUUGUAAAGCACUUUUGUCCGGAAAGAAAUCCUUGGCUCUAAUACAGUCGGGGGAUGACGGUACCGGAAGAAUAAGCACCGGCUAACUACGUGCCAGCAGCCGCGGUAAUACGUAGGGUGCAAGCGUUAAUCGGAAUUACUGGGCGUAAAGCGUGCGCAGGCGGUUUGCUAAGACCGAUGUGAAAUCCCCGGGCUCAACCUGGGAACUGCAUUGGUGACUGGCAGGCUAGAGUAUGGCAGAGGGGGGUAGAAUUCCACGUGUAGCAGUGAAAUGCGUAGAGAUGUGGAGGAAUACCGAUGGCGAAGGCAGCCCCCUGGGCCAAUACUGACGCUCAUGCACGAAAGCGUGGGGAGCAAACAGGAUUAGAUACCCUGGUAGUCCACGCCCUAAAACGAUGUCAACUAGUUGUUGGGGGAUUCAUUUCCUUAGUAACGUAGCAACGCGUGAAGUUGACCGCCUGGGGAGUACGGUCGCAAGAUUAAAAACUUAAAUGAAUUGACGGGGUCAUA